AUGAUUUAAAUACGUAUUUUGUGUAUGUAUAAUUUGUUUUAUGUACUUUUUACCUCUACUGCUGCACUAACAAGUAUUAAAUGUUUUGGGUAGCAUUUCCCAUUUACAAUUUUCACUGUAGAUUCUAUCAGUGUAUUAUUUACCAUGUUGUACUACACUGUGAGCUGUGUUAGUGCUUUAUGAAUAAAGUUUUAGAAUAUAAAC